GAAUCCUGGCUCAGGAUGAACGCUGGCGGCGUGCUUAACACAUGCAAGUCGAACGAAGCACUUUAUUACGAUUUCUUCGGAAUGACGAUUUAGUGACUGAGUGGCGGACGGGUGAGUAACGCGUGGGUAACCUGCCUUAUACAGGGGGAUAACAGUUAGAAAUGACUGCUAAUACCGCAUAAGCGCACAGGAUUGCAUGAUCUAGUGUGAAAAACUCCGGUGGUAUAAGAUGGACCCGCGUCUGAUUAGCUGGUUGGCGGUGUAACGGACCACCAAGACGACGAUCAGUAGCCGGCUUGAGAGAGUGAACGGCCACAUUGGGACUGAGACACGGCCCAAACUCCUACGGGAGGCAGCAGUGGGGAAUAUUGCACAAUGGGGGAAACCCUGAUGCAGCAACGCCGCGUGAGUGAAGAAGUAUUUCGGUAUGUAAAGCUCUAUCAGCAGGGAAGAAAUGACGGUACCUGACUAAGAAGCCCCGGCUAACUACGUG
rnacentral:rRNA from 1 species